UGUGAGCUUAUUUAUAAAGUUUGAAAAUAUAAAUAAAUUCUAAUCUUAAGUUAAAGUUUAGGAUUGAAAAUAUAUUUAAUGCUUUAAAAUAAUAUAAGUGGAUGAUAAAUUUUAUAAUUAAAGAAUUUACGUAUGCAUAUUAUACUUUAUUUUUUUUAAUUGAAACAUAGUUGAAAAAAAAAAUAUACAUUUUGAAUAUU
rnacentral:lncRNA from 1 species